UGUUAUUGAUGUGCAAAUCUAUGCUUAAUGUGCAGCGCUAAAUAAAGUGCUAGUUAAAGUUUUAGUUUUAAAGUGCUAUGCUAGUUACUUAAGUAAAAAUAGUCCCAGUAAUGAAGGCCUUUUCAAAAUUUCCGUCUUCAUGCACAAGAAAACACAUGCUGUGUUUCCAUUUGAAAAGUCCGCCAGCCUUUGUCGAUAUUCUGUCAAUAUUGUGCUAAAAAGCGCAAUUUUGAAAUUACGUUGUUUGAAUUAAACAAGAAAUAAAAUUAAAAUCACACGUAUAAGCUUUGUCACGUGAUAAGUCAUUAAAAAGCACGGCAGCGACAGAUGUAAACAGUUACAAGAGUAAUAUUUAUAUUUCAGACAUGAUGCUAAGCACUCAUCAUCAACCAAUCAGAGGAGAGCUCAGUGUCUGACUCAGGCAUUAGAACAACAAGUCCCGCCUUCUUGGGAGAGGCUACAUGAGCUGCGUUUUGGGGAAGGGGUAUUCCACAAGUGCUGUUGAUUCAACAUCAAAUGAUGAAUGGAUGGAAUGGCACGCAACUUUUUAUAAACUGUGAUGCUGCGAGAGCUCGGCUGGAGUCAGCUGCACAUUGAAAAUCCCCAAAACAAACAAUCAUCCUCCUGCUUUUUUGUCUUCUUUCUCAUUUAUGCCAUGUAGUAUCAUCCAGAUGUUUCCAUUUCAGUUUUGUGAAAUACACCAACUUCGAUGCGGCUGAACAAACCACCUCAUCCUAUUGCAAAAUGUUUUGUCGGAAAAUUUUAGCCUUUUCGGUGUUGCCGUUUUUCCAUUAAGCCAAUUUAUUUUUGUAAUUUCAAAUUAUGCAAAUCGGAAUUAUAAAAAUAACUUUGCUUAACAGAAACACACCAGCUUUGACAAAGCUUGACAAAACGUUUUGGUGCUGGGAUGAGGAGAGUUUUCAGCAUUAUCUAACUUUGUGUAUUUCGCAAAACUGCAAUGGAGACACUUUUUUUCAUGAAUCACUCCAGUUUAUGUCUAACAGCAAAGUGCUUAUUUUUAGCCACUGGCUUUCUUGGACAAUUAUAUUUUAUUUGUGGGUUAUAGUCCUAAACUGACUGUGGUCACUAAAGUCACAGUAGGACACAGCAGAUGUUUUGGAUGUUUGAUCUGGGGUUCAGCAGCAGAGCAGGGAAGGAAGACAGCAGCACUAAGGUUACACAAACAGGACAUCCGGGAUUCAUUCUCACAAUACACACACAGAUACAUAACAGGCCGGGAAAUGAGCUGGGCUCAGAGACAAUGACUCAAACUGUCAGAGAGAGGUGCGCAGGAAUCAGUGCAAUUAUGAAAACAAAACAACUUCCUUAAAUCUCCUUCUGUGGUCGGGUAAAUACUGUAAAGGGUUUUUACAGAGACAAAUUAACUCCUUCUGUAGAAAAUAUACCUUUAAGUCAUGCAUUUUGAAAAAGCAUAUUUGAACAUUUGGUUUUGUAAUAUUUCUUACAUUUUAUACAGUCAGAGCUUCACAAAGCAAAACCUGCUCUAAAAAUAAAAGCUAAAAAUAAAUUAUUAUGCCGGUCACAUAUAGUACGGCUCCUCUGGGAAACAGUGUGAAUUCACUAUAAUUGCCGUCCACAAAAAAAAAGUUCAAACAGCAAAAUCUACAAUAUAAGCAAGUUUUUGUUUCCCAGUUAUUAAUAAUUACUAUUCUCAACAGUUUAAUUCCUUCAUUUGCUGUUGGAUUCACCUCAAUGAAACAGAAAGGAGCACAUUACUCUUUUGUUUUGUUGGGUUACAGUGAGAAUCUGAGUUAGACCUGGAAGGUCAGACCUCAGAUAAAACUGAUCGGUCAGUCAGCAAACACCAGAACCAGAUACAAUAGUUGGAACCAAUUUUAGUUUAUAUGACAUUUGUUGUAAAUCGACGCUUAAGAAAUGACUGAAUCUUCAUAUUACAGGUUCUUAUACUGGAGUUGAAUUGCUGCAACUUUGCGUGUUUUCCUUGCAUUAGCUCCAGCUGACUCUGCCACCGCCGACCAAAGGAGACAAAGCGCGGUCAGUCAAGUCUGCAGCUGACUGACCGCUCUGGAGGCGCGGCGGCUUUUGGGGAGACGGGAAAUUGGCCCUUCACAAAGACACAAAACAAGCAACCCGCAGAGCUAACUGCCUGAUUAGCUGUGCUGCUCUCUGGAGCUACAAUACCUUAAAGGACCAGAGACUCGACUGAUGAGACAGAAAAGAUCCAUCACAGCCACUAAGUGACCUUAAGCCCAGAGGGAGCGCAGAGACACGGGACUGAACACAGGUCCUCUCUCACAGCUGUCAGCAAGUAGCAGCUAAAAACUAAACAAGCGGGACCAUUCAGAUGAAGUAUAACAGCAGGCGUGAAAAUCUCCUUUUAACACGAAUCCCUUCUGUUCCACUGAUCAGCCACGCCAGAGGAGAUGCAUCAGCCACCUGCAGCUUGUCUUCUGAAACCGAACCGGCUCAUUGGGCCUAACGAGCAUUUUGCAUUUCACAUUCAUUAAUCAGUGUUUAAAAGGCAGCAAGAAAGACUACUGUCAGGUGGCGUUGCUUUUUAACGUGUGCUUUCUCACUCCACUGCCAGUCACACAGUCCAAUUAAUGCCUUUCCAGAUUCCCUUUCUUUUGGAUUGCAAAUGGGAGCAGAAUAUUUUAGGUUUUCUGAAAAUGCUUGGAUUUAUUUCCGAACUGGCAUGGGCCGGCUCGUCAUUAAAUGAUUUUGUUUCUUACCAAAUCCAGUUCUUUCCUCUCUUUCUUUUCUUCAAGGAUAUAAAUGCAAAAUCCACUUUUUUUUUUUAGCUCUUAGAUACAUUUUGUUGUGUACUUGGAGACUCUUGUAAA